rnacentral:rRNA from 1 species
UACGUAGGGCGCAAGCGUUGUCCGGAAUUAUUGGGCGUAAAGAGCUCGUAGGCGGCUUGUCACGUCGGUUGUGAAAGCCCGGGGCUUAACCCCGGGUCUGCAGUCGAUACGGGCAGGCUAGAGUGUGGUAGGGGAGAUCGAAUUCCUGGUGUAGCGGUGAAAUGCGCAGAUAUCAGGAGGAACACCGGUGGCGAAGGCGGAUCUCUGGGCCAUUACUGACGCUGAGGAGCGAAAGCGUGGGGAGCGAACAGG